CCCGCCCUCCGCCGCGGCCGUUAAAGGGGCGCGGCUUCCGAGCGCCGAGUUCGAACGAGCAGGCGGUGGCCCUCCGCCCCGCCAUGACCCAGUCGGUGGUGGUGCAGGUGGGCCAGUGCGGGAACCAGGUGGGCUGCCGCUUCUGGGACCUGGCGCUGCGGGAGCACGCCAACGUCAACAAGAAAGGAAUUUAUGAUGAAGCAUUAAGCAGUUUCUUUAGGAAUGUAGAUACAAGAAGUGGUGGUGAUGGUCCCGAUAUUUACAAAGGAAAAAUCUGCUCUUUAAAAGCACGAGCACUGUUGAUUGACAUGGAGGAGGGCGUGGUAAAUGAAAUUCUGCAGGGACCAUUGAGGGAUGUGUUUGAUAGCACACAGCUUAUCACAGAUGUUUCUGGGUCAGGAAACAACUGGGCUGUAGGUCAUAAGCUGUAUGGCUCGCAGUAUCAGGAAAACAUUGUGGAAAAGCUGAGGAAAGCUGCAGAACAUUGUGACUGUCUACAGUGUUUUUUUAUAAUUCAUUCUAUGGGAGGUGGGACAGGAUCUGGUCUUGGAACUUUUGUACUAAAGUUGCUUGAGGAUGAAUUCCCAGAAGUAUAUAGAUUUGUUACUUCAGUUUAUCCCUCUGGUGAAGAUGACGUUAUUACUUCUCCAUAUAACAGUGUUCUGGCUAUGAAGGAGCUUAAUGAACAUGCAGACUGUGUCCUGCCAAUAGAGAAUGAAUCUCUAUUUGAUAUAGUUAAUAAAAUUCAUCAGAUGGCCAAUUCUGGGAAGCUAGGGUCAACUGUGAAGCAAAACAGCUUGGUGACAUCAAGUGCAGGGAGUGCAAAAACUGUACAAGAAAAGCCAUUUGAUGCAAUGAAUAAUAUUCUAGCCAACUUGCUGCUGAACCUGACAAGCUCUGCUAGGUUUGAAGGUUCCCUUAACAUGGAUCUUAAUGAAAUCAGCAUGAAUUUGGUUCCAUUUCCUCGGCUUCAUUACUUGGUUUCAAGCUUGACUCCUCUGUAUACGUUGGCUGAUGUUAACGUACCUUCUAGAAGGUUGGACCAGAUGUUUUCAGAUGCUUUCAGUAGAGAUCAUCAACUAAUUCAAGCAGAUCCAAAGCACAGCCUCUACCUUGCCUGUGCACUUCUCGUUCGAGGAAAUGUGCAGGUUUCAGACCUUCGCAGAAAUAUUGAAAGGUUGAAGCCUUCCCUGCACUUUGUCUCCUGGAAUCAAGAGGGCUGGAAAACUGGUUUGUGUUCAGUACCUCCUGUGGGCCAUUCACAUUCUCUGCUGGCUCUAGCAAACAACACCUGUGUAAAACCAACUUUCAUUGAACUCAAAGACAGAUUUAUGAAGCUCUACAAGAAAAAGGCUCACCUUCACCAUUAUCUGCAUGUAGAUGGGAUGGAACAAAGCUGUUUUUCUGAAGCCAUAUCAUCUUUGUCUGACCUAAUAGAAGAGUACAAUGAACUGGAUGCCACAAAAGGUGGGCCUAGAACAGAUCCACCAAGGCUGAAGAUAGCUGUUUGAAGGAGGAGGAACUGAUAUAAAAAGAAAAAAGAAACCCCCCAAGCAUCCAACCACUUCAAUUAACCAGAAUGAAUCGAAGCAUAUUGAGCUAUUGUAAUUCCAAAAUGAGACUGGGACAAUGGCUUCCUCAGCUCUGAGAGGCAUCAUAUGAAGUGACAGGCCCAGACUGUAAGAAAGAUUUGAAGGCACCUAAUUAUGGCAAAUAUAUCAGUAAGAGCCAUCUUCCUAACUGUGAAUUGGCAUACCAUAUGCUGUAAAGAGAAGAAAGAGAGGUUAUAGCAGCCAAAAAUGUUGUUCUUUUCUCAGAUUUUCAUCUUACAGUAAACUGAAGGCAGGCCUUGCUUCAAGGAAGGAUCACUGUUGCUGAUUUGUUUUUUAACAAGCAACUAUGAAGAGAAGCCUACAUCGUCUCUUCAAAGGAAGCCGUUUUAUAUUAGAAAAUACCUUUAUUGUCUUCAAUGUGUUGCUCAGACAAGGCUGGAUGAAGCAUAACCUCUUCUCUUUCUUCAUUUCACACUUGCUGUUUUCGUUGGUCACUCUACUGGAGAUGCCUAUGCCACAGGUCCUGGAACACGGCGUCCAGGGGGUUGCCUGCACCAGGCACUUUCUCUUCAAAACUAGCGACCCAGAGACGCCCUUCUUGUUCUCCAGCCUGGAAGAAAUGAGACAGGUCAGAGGACCAGCACAUCCAUCCUCCUCCCCCUGGAGCUGCAGGGGAGCACAGAGCACUCAUUUGAAAUAUAUUGUUCCUCUUUGCAUCGCAGAAAAAAAGCAUGUGGCUAGUGCUGGCCUGGGAAUGCUCUGUGUGAGCUGGCAAAGCCUGGUCUGUUGUGGAUAAUGGUCCCCAGUCUUGGGAAACAGGAAAGAGAUGUUCCUGUAGGAUUAUCCAUUUGUUUUACAUAGUGUAUUUUGUUGGAAUCACCUGGAGAGCAUGAUAUCUUCAGUAUUGGAGAGCAAGACUUCGAAAUUUGUUUGAAUAUAAUUAAGCUGAUUGAUAGAAACUGUUGGGUUUGGGAGGGGUGGAAGGAAGGUUCCUCCCUGAGGAAGACAUUCUGGCAGUAUAACGUGUUAAAAUGGGAUUUUAUGUGGCUCAUGUGUGCAAAGCAACCAGCCCGCAUUUUCAGCCCAGGAAGGGCCUGCUGCUAGCAGCUCUCCCACUAGUAGGCCUCAGCACUCCAAAGCAAUAACGUGCCUUCAUUGCCUCUCCCUAACAAACGCAUAAACUCAAGUCAUCUGGAGCUUGCAGAACCUGCAGUACUGAGCCCUGAGUGUGUGUAAGAAAGAGCCAUAAGACCACAAAGACUGCAACACUAACUCCUUUGCGUAAAGAAUGCACUAAUACUUUGACUUAGUAUUAGAGUCUGUGUCUCUGUUAUUGGCUCUGAUUUAAAUAAAUGGGGGCUGUGUACCCUUUUCCUCUCA